GGAAACCUUGUUACGACUUUUACUUCCUCUAAACGCUACAGUUUGGUCGUCUUCCCGCCAGGCAAGCAGAGCAAUCCGCCUACCAAACAGUCCGAGGACCUCACUAAAACGUUCAAUCGGUAGUAGCGAC
rnacentral:rRNA from 1 species